ACUGACUGCCAGUCACCUGUUGAACCAACUGCUAAUAGGAAACAUUUGUCUCCUGAACUGAAUAUACAAGAGUUAUUUUCUCUUAUAUCUGCAAUCUUCCCAGCUCCAAUUUAAAAACAUGGGGAAUGAGACUUCACGCUCAAAUACCCACGUGGCCAAUGCAACCGGGAAGCAUCUUCGGAUUUUCUAUGGAGUGGAUAAAAUGAGGCUGGAAGAAAUGGUGAUAAAUGUGGGAGUAGGGAUUGGAGGUACAGCAUCAAAAACUGAACAAUCAGCAUCAGGGAACAUUUCCACCGAUGUGAAGAUGGUUUUUAAACCAGACUCCCGGGUCCGUUACAUUCACUUGCCGCAGAACGAGACAUGUAACUUUGCCGGGGAAGGCACCAUCUAUGCCUCUGUCCUUUUGGAAGAUGAAAACGACGAAAAAAUCUGCAGUGGUGUCAUCUGCCAAAAUUUCCAUAUCCCCAGCGACCGGUCUUUUAUCGUGACUGCCAAUCAUACCAUCAAAUUGCAGAAGUAUGGUGCAAGCCUUUGGGUUGAUGAAGACGGCAAUAACCAUCGUCCUUAACUUUCCUCUUCAUCCAUCAUGAGGCCACCUUGGAAGUGUGCUGAGGCCCCAUAGGGGUAGUAGUGCACUGGUUGAGAACCACUGGUUUAGAUAACAAAAUCUUUGUUUUCAACAACAAUGUAAAAAAAAAAUCUUAGUAAUAAUGUUAACAUACCUCUGGUAUUAAUUAACAGAUUUUAUUUUUAAAUAUGUGCUCUGAAAUAUAAAAAAGCAAUGGGGAUCUUUAAAAUGUUAGCUGUGAACACUUUAUUUCAUCAUUGUUAGAAAUCUAUAGUGAAUAUUUCUUCUAAUGGAAACAUUGUUCGCAAAACUCUCACAAAAAUUAAAUCUAUGAAACUAACUUAAAGCUACCACAUUUUUGCAAAGAUUUAUAUUUCAAUAAAAGCAAUACAAAAUUCAAAGCUCUUAAUAAUCAGGUUAUUGGUUAAUGGAAUGAUGAGCUGUAAAAUAACAGAGCUUAAUCAUAUGGAAACAGAAAUCUCACCACAAUGUGUAUCAUCAAUAAAAAACAUUAAUUUCAUUAUAUUGCAUUACAAAUUUGCAUUGUGAUAAAUGCAGAAGAGAUUAUUUAAAAAACAUGCAUUUAACAUUUUAUUGAGCUAAUACCGUUAAAGAAAUAAUCAUGACUGUUAGAAAAAGAACACUCCCUUCCACAGAUGUUUCCUCUUAUUGUUUGAGUGUGAGUGAUCUCAUCUUCUCUCUUACUCCUGCCCUCCCUUUCUUUUCCCAUGUUUUUCUCUCUCCUCCCAUCUGUGUUCUCUUUCUCUAGUCCUAUAUCUCUUUACCUCAAUGUAUACAUGCAUGCGCAGACGAUACAUAGAGUUCAAUCGGUGAAGAAUGGUGGGGGACCUCUGUGGGCCCAGGUUACUGGGUUUAGUUUGUCCUUUACUGAAAGUUGAAGAGUCCCACUGCCAAUAUAUAUUCCUUAUAGUCCAGUAUUUGCUGAUCAUAUGCUUACCUCAGCUUGUUGUUUUGGCUUAUACUCAACACAUAUGUAAUCUGUAUCCUAUUGGUUGAAAGGGCUGUACCACCAUUAUUGUAUCUUUAUAUACUCAGUGUAAGACAAUAAAGAUUUGAAGUUAAGGUAUACUCAGA